rnacentral:rRNA from 1 species
UACGGGGGGGGGCAAGCGUUGUUCGGAAUUACUGGGCGUAAAGGGCUCGUAGGCGGCCAACUAAGUCGGAUGUGAAAUCCCCAGGCUUAACCUGGGAACUGCAUCCGAUACUGGAUGGCUUGAAUCCGGGAGAGGGAUGCGGAAUUCCAGGUGUAGCGGUGAAAUGCGUAGAUAUCAGGAAGAACACCGAUGGCGAAGGCAGCUCUCUGGGACGGUACUGACGCUGAGACGCGAAAGCGUGGGGAGCGAACAGG